AUUGAACGCUGGCGGCAUGCCUUACACAUGCAAGUCGAACGGUAACAGGUCUUCGGAUGCUGACGAGUGGCGAACGGGUGAGUAAUACAUCGGGACGUGCCUAGUAGUGGGGGAUAACUACUCGAAAGAGUGGCUAACACCGCAUGAGAUCUACGGAUGAAAGCAGGGGAUCGCAAGACCUUGUGCUACUAGAGCGGCCGAUGGCAGAUUAGGUAGUUGGUGGGAUAAAAGCUUACCAAGCCGACGAUCUGUAGCUGGUCUGAGAGGACGAUCAGCCACACUGGGACUGAGACACGGCCCAGACUCCUACGGGAGGCAGCAGUGGGGAAUUUUGGACAAUGGGCGCAAGCCUGAUCCAGCAAUGCCGCGUGCAGGAUGAAGGCCUUCGGGUUGUAAACUGCUUUUGUACGGAACGAAAAGCCCCGGGUUAAUACCCUGGGGUCAUGACGGUACCGUAAGAAUAAGCACCGGCUACUACGUGCCAGCCGCCGCAGUAA
rnacentral:rRNA from 1 species